CCUACGGGUGGCAGCAGUGAGGAAUAUUGGUCAAUGGACGAGAGUCUGAACCAGCCAAGUAGCGUGAAGGAUGACUGCCCUAUGGGUUGUAAACUUCUUUUAUAAAGGAAUAAAACGAGGCACGUGUGCCUUUUUGCAUGUACUUUAUGAAUAAGCAUCGGCUAACUCCGUGCCAGCAGCCGCGGUAAUACGGAGGAUCCGAGCGUUAUCCGGAUUUAUUGGGUUUAAUGGGUGCGUAGAUGGGUUGUUAAGUCAGUUGUGAAAGUUUGCGGCUCAACCGUAAAAUUGCAAUUGAUACUGGCAGUCGUGAGUACAGUUGAGGUAGGCGGAAUUCGUGGUGUAGCGGUGAAAUGCUUAGAUAUCACGAAGAACCCCGAUUGCGAAGGCAGCUUACUAAACUGUGACUGACAUUGAUGCUCGAAAGUGUGGGUAUCAAACAGGAUUAGAUACCCCAGUAGUC
rnacentral:rRNA from 1 species